CAGGGAGGAGAGGGCCAGCAGGUAGGGCGUCAUGGACUCCCCUCACCAUCCUUCCUCAGGUACUGGGAAGGAGCUGUCAGCGGCCAGCGUGAGGCGAGUGGACAGGCGGCGAGGGACAACGGCCAAGAGAAGAGCUGUGGCGGCCGCCGGCGUGGAAACCACGGCGAGGGGCGGGGUCACGGUGGGCCGGGCUUCCUCCGGGGCGGGGCCUCGUGCAGGAUGGGCCUCGAUGGGCCGGGCUUCCUGCGGGGCGGGGCCUCUCCGGGGUCCGAGCCUCCCUGGCGAGGUCCCGCACCUGGGCUUCCCUCAAUGCACUGUCUGCAGCAGCUUGUGGCCAACAACCCCCAGAGCUGGUGAUGCAGCGUUCAGCCACUGCCUUUGGCAGCUUUCCGAGGGAGCGCGCCGCAGUCACGAAGCUGUGCACCCUCGGUGUUGUGGGUGGCGCCACCGUCUUGGGGAAAUCAGGCGCAGCCUGGGCACCUGAGUGCCCUUGCUUGUGGAAAGAGUUGGUGAUGUAUGAUAUGGUCUUGAGAUCCGUCUUGAGAAUCCCCCCAUCUCUUGGGGGGCAGCUGGAACCCCCCAAUUGGCCACAUUGCCAGGCCGGCCUACCUUGCAGUAUAUUCUCAGGCACUACCUGCUGUACCUGGACCAGGGGCAAGAGAGUGCUGCAGCCCUGAACAGAGACAGUACAGUGGACGUGGUCUGUGAGCCGAAGCUGUGCCAGACCUGCUGCCCGAUCUCAGCACCAGCUCAGCCACCCACAAGACACUAGGCUGGUCAAGAAGCACAGGACUCCCACCAAGUGAACCUGACCAUGGGCCAGGGCCUGCUAACCUGCCACAAGACCUCAGGACACAGGUCUCUCUGGAUGGCAGGCUGACCAAAUAGGAGACUGGGUGCCACAGGAGCUCAAUAAACAUUUGCUAAACUCA